CUGAUUCAUAAAUACAAAAUAAAAGGAGCCAAUUGCCCACGCGUUUGACAACUUAAUUAGGUUAGGGCUAUCGACUUUUGUUUCCCUCUCCAUUUAUUUCCCACACAAUUUCUUCAUCAGUCUUCUUCUCUCUCCAAAGCUCAAGUCAUCACUCAAAAGCCGUCACUUCUUAGCUUGAAAUUAGGGUUCUUCGCUCUCAACUCAGCCAUCACUCAAGUCCUUUUAUGAAGGAGUAUUCUGCGAAUCGGGAAGAAGGAGAAGGUUCAUCAAUCAACUAAAGAUGUGGGUUCUUCGAUCUCUGGGUUUACAACAUUGAUUUGGGGAUUUGUGGGCUACUCGAUUUGAGGGUUUCACGACUCGAUCUGGGUUUUUCCGGCCACUCGAUCAACAAGGAGGAGGAAAAGGGGGUUUCGCGCAGUUUUUCUUAACCCUAGAAGAUGAAGCCUUCGUGCCGUCGUUUGAAGGUCCUCAACUCCAAGACUUGCUGGGAACCGAGUUCCCGGUUGUGCAUCCUCCUUGGAGUUAUCAAUUGUCUGGCGUCGAUAGAGGAGAAUUAGCGUUAUUGGGAUUGGAAGAAGCAGCGAAAAGGUUUGUCAUCAGGGGUGUCUUUUUGGUUGAUUCGUAUGGAUUUCUGGUUUUGAAUGUGUGGUUUUCGUUGUGAUUGAUUUGGUUUGCAGUGAAUAUUGAAGUCUGGGUAUUUUCAAUUUGUUCCCUUUUGUCUAAAUUUACUUAUUCUCUGUUUGAAAAUGGGUUAAUCUCAAAUUGGGUUUCUGGGGUUUUCUGUUCUCUUGAGUUUCUUGAAUGCUUUUUCAAGGAAGAAAGUUUAGGCAGUGAUGUCGUACAAGAUCUGAUAUAACUGUUUCUGAUUUCUUGAAUUUCAGUACCCAAAGCAAUAAAUGUGUUCGUGGGAUUGUCAUUUUUUUGACCCGAUUAUUUUUUGUCAAUUAAAAACUGGAUGUAUGUUGUGUUCUGUGAAAAGCUUUUUCCCUGGUCAAUUGAGAUAAAGUGUAUAUUCUUGAGUCACGUUUUAUUAAAAGAUGUAGCUAAGAAUUUAAUUCUAUGUGUACUAUAAGAAUUAAUGUAUGACACAACUAGAGAUUAGAAAGUGAGACCUGAUGGUGGUGUGAUUAGUAGAUUAUGAGGAGUGACCAUGAUGAUCUGAAAUUUUAGUUGGAUAUUUUGUGGAAAUGCAGAUAUGGCAACUAAGAAUGCCAAAAGAGGAAUAAAAAGGUUUCUAGAGCAAUCUACUCCUGAUAGGAUUGAUCAGGCAAAAACAAGAUGUAGUAAUGUUAAAUUAUAGAUACUGUGUACAAAUAUAAUUGUUUCUGUGCAACUAUGAAUUAAUUCGUACUGUUUCUUUGUUGGUUACAGUGCUUAGGACAGGGAUUACUGAAGAAUCUCACAAACAUCAUAAUAACGCUCUGUUUACAGAUGGUAAUGAGGAUGGUAUUCGAGGCUUGGUGUUGAAAGAGGAAUGCAAGCUAGUGACUUAUAUUUGGCUAAGUUAUGUUUACCGCAGUAUUAUUUCUACUUAAUUUUUUGGAUCUCUCUCUCUCUCUCUCCCCCUCCUCCCUGCCUAACAAUGUCAAUGUCUCUCUCUCGCUCGCUAUUUAGAUGAUGCACAUUUUCUCUAUAGAUAGAGAAAAAAUUGGUAGUUUGAUACUAACUUGCAUGGUGUCUUCUUCUUUAUAGACAUCUGGGUUUGAUACGGUGUAAGCAAAAUCUGGAUUUUAUUUGAGAAUGCACUGAGCUACAAUGUAGUCUCCUUGUCAUUUCCAGAAGCUGUCCUUCUAUUGUCUUUGGUAGGGAUUACAGAACUUGAGGUACUCUAAUCAGUUUUGCCAGGUUUCAUACUUUCUGCAGGUUUGGUUGUUAACGUUGUUAACCUCAUUCUUUUAGAAGAGCCCAUGUUUGUAUGUUGGACUGAAAUAUUUUAGAUAACUCUAAAAGGGCAUGUUUUUGUUUUGCUAUACUCUUUAACACUUUAGGAACCAGGAGUGUAUUUACUGUUACGUUUGUUUGUUUUGGUAGUCAUUUGCAUCUGGGAAAAAGAUUUGAUCUUAUCCUGUGGACACAAGUGCUUAGUUCGUAAUAAAUUCAGAGCAUGUAAGAUGAAAACCUAUUUAUCUUGUGAAAAUUAACUUGAGUUGCUUUGCUUUGGAGUACACUAUGCAGUAUGUGCUAUCUCAAUGACCCUUUUAUGCUCUAUGCUUCUUAAUGUCCUGCGUAUUGGAUAAGUCGCAUAGUUUUGGAGGCUAAGAUUUUUCAAAUCAACUUUUUGUCAAGUCAUUUAUGAUUUUAAUUACAAGACAUAACUAAUUCAGAAGGAGAGAUAUGAAAAGUGUUCCACCAUGUUGUUAUAUCACAGGAUGUCAACUUAAAGUUUGAGCUUAUCUAACAGUAGAUAUAUCAAAGAGAUUCUGCAAGUGAGUUUUCACUUUGGAACUCUUUUUCAUAUGUUUUGAAGUAAAAGUGACAUGGCAUUGUAUUUCGAUAGUGAUGUGAUGCAAUCUUAUUGGUAAUGGUUGUCUAUUGUUUACUCCAGGAUAAAUUGAUUUGUCACUAAAAACUACUCUUCCUAUAUAUUUGCAGGCAACAUUAGAAGACAGAAUGCUUUGGAACAAUGUGUAUCGGCCUUUGAUGUUCAAGUAGAUAGGGCAUUUAUGUAUUAGAAUGUAAAACGAGAUGUUGAAUGAUUGAGAAAUGCUCCAUUUUAACAUUUUUGGCAUAUGGAAUGGAUUGGAUUAUUCAUUUGAUGGCUUGCAAUGUGUUUUCUUUCCAAUUGAUCACUGUUCAUUAGGUAA
rnacentral:lncRNA from 1 species